UUCCUGGAGGAUUAGUGGUUAGGCUUUAGUGCUCUCACCACUGUGGCUCAGGUUCAAUUCUCGGCCAGGGAA
rnacentral:tRNA from 1 species